UUCGUAGGCGGGUUGUAAGUCAGGGGUGAAAGUUUACGGCUCAACCGUGAAAUUGCCUUUGAUACUGCAGAUCUUGAAUAUUUGUGAAGUAACUAGAAUAUGUGGUGUAGCGGUGAAAUGCAUAGAUAUCACAUGGAAUACCGAUUGCGAAGGCAGGUUACUAACAGAUUAUUGACGCUGAUGGACGAAAGCGUGGGUAGCGAACAGGAUUAGAUACCCUGGUAG
rnacentral:rRNA from 1 species